rnacentral:misc_RNA from 1 species
GCGGCAUUAGCGGGUUGCAGUGUCGUGGUUUAGGACGUCCUGUCGCUCGCCGUUUUGAUGUCUUGUCGGCCCUCUAAGCCCGUUACAUAGUGGAGCUUGCUUUCCUUAACGCAACCAGAUGAUCGAGAGCAAACCAGAAGCAACUGCAGACCCGUGCACGACUGGUCGACUUGAACAUGAGCACCUACUUUUUGAGUUGGAAACGAGCGACUCGAGCAGCGUCGGUCUGGUGCUCAGGGCUAUUUAUGAUGGAGACGAACAUGAGAAGUUUCUCGAAAAAUUGGACGCUCGCAUCAGCGAUCAUGACAGAGAGAUUGAAAAGAUGUGCAACUUCCACUACCAGGGCUUCAUUGACUGCAUCAGAGAGCUUUUGCAAGUACGGAGCAAAGCACAAAAGCUGAAAAAUGAAGUAACCCGAACAGACCAGGAGCUGCAAGAAACAGCAAAGCGUGUCCUACAAAGGGCUGAUGAAUUAGUCAAGUAUGGUCACAUUCAAAGUAACAUAGCCUGGACAAUUGGAAGCCUAAGUGUGUGCCUUCCUGUACUUGAUGUUUAUGCCAAAUUAAUGGAACAGAUGAAAGAACGUCGGUAUUACCCAGCACUUAAGACUAUUGAACAGCUAGAGCACACAUAUUUGCCACGAGUGUCGCAGCAUCGAUUUGCCCAGUCCAUGGCAGUCUGUAUACCACGACUGCGUGACCGUAUAAAGGAAGCGUCCUUGUCAGAGCUGAAAGAUUUCCUUGAGAACAUUCGCAAGCAUUCAGGUCGCAUUGGUGAGGUGGCAUUGAACCAGGGCUGCAAGCAAGAACAGAACCAGGACGAAGAUAUGAGCGCGCAGGACUUGGUAGAUUUCUCCCCAGUGUACCGCUGCCACCACAUAUACAGUGUACUGGGAGCACGGGAAACAUUCGAAGCUUACUACCGACAGCAACGAAAGCACCAGGCUCGGCUUGCCCUACAACCGCAGAUGAACAUGCACGAGACAAGUGAUGGAUAUCGUAAAUAUUUUGCGGAAAUUGUUGGGUUCUUUGUGGUUGAGGACCACAUUUUGAACACAGCUAGUGGCCUUGUGAACCAGGCAUACCUGGACCAAGUCUGGGAGAAUGCCUUGCUGAAGAUAACAGCAGCAUUAAGGACACACACUGCCUACUGCACAGAAGCCAGCCUGAUGCUUGAUGUUAAGAAACUCAUUCUCCUGUUCAGCGAAACACUGCGGAGCUAUGGAUAUCAUGUAGACCCAGUGCACAACUUGCUACUUGAGAUACAGGAGCAUUACAAUGAGAUCCUCAUGAAGCACUGUGUUCAGACCUUCCGCAGCAUUUUUGAUGAUGACUCUUACCACCCUAUUGAAGUUGCAACUGAAGAGGAAUACCAGAAUGUUGUGGCCAUUUUCCCAUUUCGAGAUGAGGCACUGGAACUGGCACCAUUCCCAAAGAAGUUUCCAUUUUCACGGUUCGUACCUGGCAUCUUUGACGAAGUCAAAGGCUUUAUUCGCGAAUGCCUCAAGUUUUCUGAAGACCUCAAUGUCAGUCAAACUGAAGUUGAGGACAUGGUGCGGAAAGCUACCAACCUGCUACUGACCCGAACACUAGGAGGUUGCCUUUCAUCACUCAUCAAAAAACCAAAUGUUGGUCUUCUGCAGCUAAUACAAAUCACGAUAAAUACAAACUACCUUGAAGAUGCUAGUGUGUACUUGGAGCAGUUCAUCUCCUCUAUUUUCAACCGGUGGUGUGGUGACAGCCAUCAUGUGGCUAAACUGCAAGGGCGGACAAUGUUCAAGGAUGCCCGAAAAGAUGCUGAGGACCAAAUUUAUGAACAGCUGAAGGCCAAGAUAGGAGAGUUUUUGGAACUUGGACAAAGUGGCUCAAACAGCUUGCAUGACUGCCUGCCAGCACCUUGCUACAUCUCUAUUGAACAUCCUCACCUCAGACGAUGUCAAGUACAUUUCCAUGGGUGCCUUGCAGCAGUUCAACUUGGACGUCAUUCAGUGUGAACAGUUUGCGAGCUCAGAACCAGUAAAAGGCUUCAAGGAGGGUGUGCUGCAGAUGUUCUUUGUAGAACUGCGUCAGCUUCUAGAUCUGUUCAUGGCAGAGGACUGGUCGACAUAUUUCCAUGACCAUGGAAAGGAGAGCAGCCGGUACCUGCGUGUAAACCCAAGCCUUGCUUUGCUGCUUCUUGAGAAGGUGCGAGAGGCUGACAAAAAGAAGAACAUUUUCUCAUCGUUAAAGCAGAAGGAACGAGACAAGAAAAAGUUGCAAGAAACUGUGCUCAAACAGCUGCGGCAGCUGGUAGCUUGAGCGACAAGCUUUGUGCCAGUGAACAAACAAAUCUGAAACAUGUUUUAUUGAUCGCUUUGGCAACAUA